GACUAUAUGUGUAGUUUUGUUUAGUUCCUUAAUGCCCACUGUACGACGAGUGCACACGUCACGAUCCUGAAGCGCGAAUCUCAGACAUUUAAAUUUCAACGGUUAUUUUGGCGGUCCGUCUGAGGAGAUUCUGCCGAUUUAUCAAACUAAAAUAUUAUUUUAUUUCGUUCUGCUUUCAUAAAUUGAUUCGAUUGAUUCGAAUUCAAACUUCUAACUCAGUUGGAGGUAAAGCUGAUGGAGAGAGACCACGUUCCAGAACCCGCUGUCACAAGUGAUGAAGAACGUUUUGUUCCGGAUGGGAUUGGGAAUGCAGAGCGUCAGAAAGAUCGCAUAUGGUGAUGUGGAGAAGCUUGCGACGGUUACACUGAUGGAGAAGUUUGUUCCCACCGUCUCCGGCUCUCAGAAGCUCCUGGCAUCGAUGGUCUGCCUUCAGCUCACUCAGGUUCACGGAUUCACCGAUAUUGUGCUCAAACCAAAGUGAAAAACUUUCUAAGCUUUCGAAGCUUUCUAAUGCUCUCGCUUCUCUUGAAGAAUAUUUACUAGAUUGAAGGGUCAAAAUCACUAAAUAAUAAUUCCGUAUUUUUAUUCACAACUGAUGUAUGUCAACAAUAAAGAUCCUUCAUGUUUUUUUCAUAUCUGUCUGUCUGUUGUAAUAUUUAUGUGUGUAGAUGUACAUGAACUUAAAUCGUUCUCCAUUUACAUAUUUAUUUACAAGAAAUUUAGUGUACAAGUAAUGUCAGUUACAGAACUGAACACUUGUCUUUAUUCAGAUGCUGCAGUUAUUCCAAUAUGAACCGAGAAUUGCAGCAUUUGCAGUAAUUUCAAGUUAACAGCUGGAGAGAGAGAGAGAGAGAGAGAGAGACAUAAUGGACAAUGGAAAUUACCUUAACAGGUGUAGAAGUUUAGAAU